UUUGGCCUCCCAAAGUGCUGGGAUUACAAGCGUGAGCUACCGUACCCGGCCGCUUCCUCUUUUUAUAAGGGUACCUACCAUUUCGCCAGCUGUCCACGUGUGGCUGUUGUGUCAUUUUUUUCUUCAUCUGCUGGACCAUUGGGACUUCGGCUGCAGGUGGCAGGAGGCUCCAUCCUCAAGUGUCUCCACGGAUAAGGACAGGCACCAUCCAGCGCACAACCCCUCUGCACCCCUAAUCAGUGUGAAAUGACGAGACACAAUCACAGCUUCAAAUCACAUCCUUGCUGAACUCACAGAGGACAAUUUAGGCAGGAACCGCACACUGCUAUGAGUAGGUGAUGCAUCUACAAGGUGGUCCCAGCAGCCUUCAGCCCUGGAGUCUGACUGCCCUGGUCCAAGCUGUCCCCGCCUUGCUGGCCUCCUGGGGCCCGUGCACCCUGUUGACAUUCCCCUCUCCACCGCCCUCCACUCAAAGCACCAAAGAAGACUUACUCAAUGUGUCUUUAUGGUGCAGAGUCCUGGCAAGCAGAGGUCUUUGUGUAGCUGUUGAAUAAAAAAAGUCCUUGUGAUGCGUA